UACGAAGGGGGCUAGCGUUGCUCGGAAUUACUGGGCGUAAAGCGCACGUAGGCGGCUUUCUAAGUCGGGGGUGAAAUCCUGGAGCUCAACUCCAGAACUGCCUUCGAUACUGGAAAGCUCGAGUCCGGGAGAGGUGAGUGGAAUUCCCAGUGUAGCGGUGAAAUGCGUAGAUAUUGGGAGGAACACCAGUGGCGAAAGCGACUCUCUGGCUCGUAUCUGACGCUGAGGCGCGAAGGCUUGGGUAGCAAACGGG
rnacentral:rRNA from 1 species